UCAACCGCAGAUUCGUAGCAGUUACCUUUUGGCGCCUUCUUUCAGUGUCUCUCUCUUUCUCCAGCUAACCAAAAAUUGUUUCGAGACCCAGUAAGCUAACAGCUUCAAUUAUUAGUUUAGCACUGCAAUUUCACAUCAGUUUAUCUUUCUUUCACAUUUAAUGGCAAUAAGCCAGUGCUUAAAACCCACAAUCCUUGUAGCCUCCACUUCCUCCAAUUACUUAUAUUUUCAUUCAUCGCUCCCAUUUCCACUCAAAACCCGCACAAAAUUACACAUGUUUAGCACCAUUCCUUCGAGAAUUCAUAAUCUUCAACACCCGUUACCUAUUUUAUCAAGAAGAUUAUUUCUCCCUGCAGUAUCUGGUAUCUGGGAUGCCUUAACAGGUGCCAACAACAAUGCCCGUGAAGCCGUGCUGGCAAUUAGACGUGGAAUGCUACUCUUUAGACAGGGGGAUGUUUUGGGUUCUUUAGUGGAAUUUGAUAAGGCAAUGGAGUUGGAUCCUCGUCAAAAGGCUUAUCUUUGGCAAAGAGGCUUAUCGCUUUACUAUCUUGAUAGGUUUGAGGAAGGGGCAGAGCAGUUCCGGUUAGAUGUUGCGCAAAAUCCAAAUGAUACAGAGGAGUCAAUAUGGUGCUUUCUCUGUGAAGCUCAACUGUAUGGAGUUGAUGAAGCAAGGAAGCAAUUCCUUGAGGUUGGCAGAGAUCCACGACCUGUCAUGCGAGAAGCCUAUAGCAUGUUUAAAGAUGGCGGUGAUCCAGAAAAGCUUGUCACUGCAUUUUCAAAUGGCCGGGAGAAUGAGUACUUUUAUGCUUCUUUAUAUGCUGGGCUAUAUCAUGAAUCCCAGAAUGAACCAGAUGCAGCCAAAUUUCAUAUAGUUGCUGCGUCUAAGUCUCCUUACGGACAAGGGUCUGAUGACUAUAUGGCUGCUCUUGCCAAUGUCCAUUGUCUAUGCAGAAACUGGAGCAUUGACUGAAAUGUUUUCCUGAAGUUGGAAAGUACAGUUCUUAGUAGUUAUGUUUAUUCACUUCUGGAUUUGUCUUUACGGUUAACAGAGGACUGAUAAUAUUGAGUUUAUCCACACCCGACUACUUCUAGAAUAAUUAAUAAUUCCGAAUCUGUAGAAAGAGUUACUUGCUGGAAAUGCUCAAAUCCAAGUCUACAUAAGAGGAAUAGCAAGAAAUUGGCAACUUCAUCAUUCUUCAGAAUUUAGAAAAAGACUACACCAUUGGCAAGACUUCAUGGGAAUAUGACCACACGCACUUGUACAUUGAUGUUACGAACUUGCCCUAAACUAAUACAUGUAUAAACCAAUCAGAAUGUAGCAGACUUGCUCAAGCUGAAUGCAUUACAAGCUAUGAUAUAACCGUAAACGACAGAAUUUUUUAUCA